rnacentral:rRNA from 1 species
AGUGAACGCCGGCGGUAGGCCUAACACAUGCAAGUCGAACGGCAGCACAGUAAGAGCUUGCUCUUACGGGUGGCGAGUGGCGGACGGGUGAGGAAUACAUCGGAAUCUACUUUUUCGUGGGGGAUAACGUAGGGAAACUUACGCUAAUACCGCAUACGACCUACGGGUGAAAGCAGGGGAUCUUCGGACCUUGCGCGAUUGAAUGAGCCGAUGUCGGAUUAGCUAGUUGGCGGGGUAAAGGCCCACCAAGGCGACGAUCCGUAGCUGGUCUGAGAGGAUGAUCAGCCACACUGGAACUGAGACACGGUCCAGACUACUACGGGAGGCAGCAGUGGGGAAUAUUGGACAAUGGGCGCAAGCCUGAUCCAGCCAUACCGCGUGGGUGAAGAAGGCCUUCGGGUUGUAAAGCCCUUUUGUUGGGAAAGAAAAGCAGCAGGUUAAUACCCCGCUGUUCUGACGGUACCCAAAGAAUAAGCACCGGCUAACUUCGUG